CCCUAUUUUCCCCUUCUCUUGAGCCUGCUGCACUUCUCACACUCCAACAAUACAGCCUUCUAGUUUAAACUCCACACUUCACUCCUCAAACCACCACUCUCUCCAUUCAACACUUAGCAGCAACGGCAGGAAUCUGCACUCCAUCUCUGCCAAGUAUUCUCAAGGUAAGCUUGACUUCAAUGCUCUACCUUCUUCCAUGUUUCCAC
rnacentral:lncRNA from 1 species